GCCAGCGUAGUUCAACGGUGGAACGGAGCCCUCAUAAAGCUCAUGCUGUUGGUUCGACUCCAACCGCUGGCA
rnacentral:tRNA from 1 species